rnacentral:rRNA from 1 species
CCCUUAGAUGUUCUGGGCCGCACGCGCGCUACACUGAUGCAUUCAACGAGUCUAGAACCUGCUCUGAUAGGGGUGGGUAAUCUUUUGAAUGUGCAUCGUGAUUGGGAUAGAUGAUUGCAAUUUUUCAUCUUCAACGAGGAAUGCCUAGUAAACGCAAGUCAUCAGCUUGCAUUGAUUACGUCCCUGCCCUUUGUACACACCGCCCGUCGCUCCUACCGAUUGAAUGAUCCGAUGAAUAUCAUGGAUUGAGGAUGUAAGCAGGUUCGCCUGUCUUCAUCUUCGAGAAGUGAAGUAAAUCUUAUCAUUUAGAGGAAGGAGAAGUCGUAACA